GACGAACGCUGGCGGCGUGCUUAACACAUGCAAGUCGAACGGAAAGGCCCUGCUUGCAGGGUACUCGAGUGGCGAACGGGUGAGUAACACGUGGGUGAUCUGCCCUGCACUUCGGGAUAAGCCUGGGAAACUGGGUCUAAUACCGGAUAGGAGCCAUUUUUAGUGUGAUGGUUGGAAAGUUUUUUCGGUGUAGGAUGAGCUCGCGGCCUAUCAGCUUGUUGGUGGGGUAAUGGCCUACCAAGGCGGCGACGGGUAGCCGGCCUGAGAGGGUGGACGGCCACAUUGGGACUGAGAGACGGCCCAGACUCCUACGGGAGGCAGAAGGGGGGAAUAUUGCACAAUGGGCGCAAGCCUGAUGCAGCGACGCCGCGUGGGGGAUGACGGCCUUCGGGUUGUAAACUCCUUUCGCUAGGGACGAAGCUUUUUGUGACGGUACCUAGAUAAGAAGCACCGGCUAACUACGUG
rnacentral:rRNA from 1 species